UUUCCAUUUGUGGCAGAUUACUGUAAGGCUAUUGUAAAACAACUUCCUGCCUCUUUUGGCUCUGGUUCCAAAAACGGCAAAGGCUGGGCUCACGUGUCUCCCCCCCUCUCUCCCCGAAGUAUCAGGAGGUCUAAAAAGAGAGAAAGCCAGAAAAAGGAAAAGUGUAAAAUCUCUGCAUGUCUCCUCUUGAGGACUUAUUUUGAUGCCUUGUGUCUUUAAUGCCACAUGAGAAGUAAAGGAGGAGAGCAGGGGACUGCAUGCCUAGCAGAACGGAAAGAACAGCACAGCAACACCCGACCGACCGGAGGCUCCUCCGCUCACUCACUCCGAGGACUCUCUCCUCUCCUCCUCUUCAUGACAAGGUUCAAUAAGACACAGGUGGCCACAUUCAAUGGACCUGCAGAGGGAAAAAACAUUGUUUGUGUUUACUUACUGAAGACAUGGUGCAACCAAGUUCGGGCGUUAUUAACAGUCUCUCAUCUUCUUUUUAAAAAAUGACACAAAAUGGGUUGGAUGUGUCUGCUUUGGAAUGAGCUAGAACCCUAGAACCCAAUCCAAAGCACUGCAGCCUCACGUCACAUCUCGCCAUGCGUUUUAACCAAUUGAAAAACUCACGUCUUUGCGUUGAAACAUAUAGGUUUAAACAUACAGUUUGUGGAUAUUGUAGAUACAUAUUAGGAAUAUGUAUUUUUGUAUGUACAAUCCUGCUCAGUUUCAGUAGAGGACAGACAGUGGGGGAAAUUUGUUUUAGUCGUUGGUUUGGAACGGUCUGUAGUAAUAAUUUAGCUUAGUGUGCAUGUAGCACAGAAUUUAAUCAUUUAGCUUAGUGUGCAUGUAGCACAGCAUUUGCAAGAAGUUCACUUGAGGAUAAGGUUUUGGUUUUGGGAGGAUGCCAACUUUUACGACUGUGUGCCUCUACCUCGCUCCCCUCUUCUCUACUCUGGUUGCAUUUGUCUGUAUUGAAUUAUAUUUUAAAAUGUAUUUAUAUAUGUAAUUAUAUAUGUCAUUAUUAUAUUUUAAGUUGUGUUUUAGAAUUGUAAAUUACUUUAACCAUGCUUUCUUUAAACACUUUUCAAAUAAUAAAUUAAGCAAUUUUAAGA